GGGCACAUGGUGUAGUUGGUUAUCACGCCCGCUUAGCACCAUAUCUUUGUUGUUGCGGGCGGUGCCCGGUUCAAUUCCGGGUGUGUCCA